rnacentral:lncRNA from 10 species
AGUAAGUCACAGUCGGGACACUGGUUCCUGUCACUGGGUGCAGCACAAAGAAGGACCCCAGGACAUGCGGUGCAGACGGGAGCACAGAGAGGAAGUACAAGUCACAAGACCGGAAUACUUCACUUGAAUAAGAACUCAGUGCAAAGAAGUUGGAUAAAUCGGAGAAAACCACACACGUGGCCAUUGAUGCCCUUGGUUGACAGAGUUGACGGGAUUUUCUCUGGCUCUCACCUUGAGGGCAUCAUCAGCAUCCUGAAGUCACUAGCGGGCCUCUGUGCAGAUGUCCUUUCGAGGGGCUUCAGGCUGUGGAAGUGACCAGUGAACACAGGACCUGCCUGGACUCCCAGCCUCACAGCACAGCACCACAGCCUGGACUGCCCCCUGCCUGAUACUUGCUUGGUUUGGAACUUUACUCCAUCAAAACAUCCAAAUAAAAAUAUGUAGACUCCCCACCCUAUCCCAUCUGCUAUAGGGUUCUAAUUCCCCCACAGACAUCCCAUCACAGUGCUUUCCCCCAUGACGGGGGACUCCUGAGCUGGACUCCAUCCCUCCCCUACCAGAAAAGCACAGGUGCUGUGGCAUGAGUUCAACCGCCUGAAAUUCCCUGAUCUUCAGAGUAAUAAUUCUAAAAUAGGGCAAUAAUACCCCUGUCAGUGUUCUUGGAAGAACUUCUCAUUACUUGAGGCCCCAGAAAUGCAAACACUCCUCCGGUUUUCCAGCGUGCUGUCAACCCUGGCAUCAGAGCUCUUCCUGCCGUGGGCACUGGUAAUUGACUUACUGGAGAAAGUCAAGCUUUUAAGUCCCAGGAAUAAAGGAUUCCUAUUUCCUUAAGCUAUGUUUAUUUUUACGCUAUUGCUGGUAGAGUCAAUGUGUACUGAGUGAAGAUGAGGCAAGAGUGUCAAAGAGUGAUUUCCAAUAAGAUGAAAAGUGAUCUGCAGUUUCUACUUCCUUAACCAGCAGGAAACGUUUCUCCUGUAGCAUCGGACAGUGGAGGCAGUGGCGCUCAGUGUGGGGCCUCCUGGCUGAAGGAGGGGACAACACGGUGUCCCAUCUCCCUAGAUGCUGUAUGCACCUCACCUGGCUGGUGAUUUACUUGACAGAAACCCAUGUGUGGAGUAGGGAGUGCUGCCUUUGGCAUCUACCCAGUUUCUGCUCUGGACUCUGCCUCUUAGCAAGGGUGACUUGUGGGCCCAAAUCACCUGGUGGCUGUGAGCCACUCCACUCCAGCCUGGGCAAGAGUGAGACCUUGUGUGAAAAUAAAAUAAAAUAUAAAAAUAAAAAUAAGCCGGGAAUGGCGGCUCACAGCUGUAAUCCCAGCACUUUGGGAAGCCAAGACGGGCGGAUCACAUGUGGUCGGGAGUUCGAGACUAGCCUGACCAAUAUGGAGAAACGCUGUCUCUACUAAAAAUACAAAAAAUUAACCGGCUGUUGUGGCUCAUGCCUGUAAUCCCAGCUACUCAGGAGGCUGAGGCAGGAGAGUCACUUGAACCCAGGAGGCAGGCGUUGCAGUGAGCCAAGUUCCUGCCAUUGCACUCCAG